rnacentral:rRNA from 1 species
CCUACGGGUGGCAGCAGUGAGGAAUAUUGGUCAAUGGGCGGGAGCCUGAACCAGCCAAGUAGCGUGAGGGAAGAAUGUACAGCGUAUUGUAAACCUCUUUUGUCAGGGAACAAAGGCGGGGACUAGUCCCCGUUUGAGUGUACCUUAUGAAAAAGCAUCGGCUAACUCCGUGCCAGCAGCCGCGGUAAUACGGAGGAUGCGAGCGUUAUCCGGAUUUAUUGGGUUUAAAGGGUGCGCAGGCGGCCUGUUAAGUCAGCGGUAAAAGUUCGGGGCUCAACCCCAGCGUGCCGUUGAAACUGGCGGUCUGGAGUUGGAGAGAGGUACGCGGAAUGCGCGGUGUAGCGGUGAAAUGCUUAGAUAUCGCGCAGAACCCCGAUUGCGAAGGCAGCGUACCGGCUCCACACUGACGCUGAGGCACGAAAGCGUGGGUAUCGAACAGGAUUAGAUACCCUUGUAGUC